rnacentral:tRNA from 1 species
GCACCCGUAGCUCAGCUGGAUAGAGUACUAGAUUCCGAAUCUAGGGGUCACAGGUUCGAGUCCUGUCGGGUGCG